GAAGGUAUGCUCAGUGGUUAGAGUGCAUGCAUAGCAUGCAUGACAUCCUGGGUUCAAUCCCCAGUACAUCCA
rnacentral:tRNA from 1 species